rnacentral:lncRNA from 1 species
UGAGACGUAUCCUACUGUCUAGUCUGUCCAUAGUGAUUACAGUGAGAGGUAUCUCUACUGUCUAGUCUGUCCAUAGUGAUUACAGUGAGAGGUUAUCCUACAGUAUAGUCUGUCCAUAGUGAUUACAGUGAGAGGUAUCCUACUGUCUGUCGUCCAUAGUGGUUACAGUGAGAGGUAUCCUACUGUCCAGUCUGUCCAUAGUGAUUACAGUGAGAGGUAUCUCUACUGUCUAGUCUGUCCAUAGUGAUUACAGUGAGAGGUAUCCCUACUGUCCAGUCUGUCCAUAGUGAUUACAGUGAGAGGUAUCCUACUAUCUUAGUCUGUCCAUAGUGAUUACAGUGAGAGGUAUUCCUACUGUCUAGUCUGUCCAUUGUGAUUACAGUGAGAGGUAUCCCUACUGUCUAGUCUGUCCAUUGUGAUUACAGUGAGAGGUAUCCCUACUGUCUAGUCUGUCCAAAGUGAUUACAGUGAGAGUAUCCUACAGUCU